GUUAUGAUCGAUGAAGCACGUGCGCAUAAUGCGCAUCGGCUUCAUCGAUUAUGACC
rnacentral:pre_miRNA from 1 species